AAAGGACCUGAGUGAAACACAAGAUGGCAAAAAAGUGGGAGGAAAAUUGAAAUAAUGGCAGCAGUUCUGCUGUACUUAA
rfam:Loxodonta africana unplaced genomic scaffold scaffold_5, whole genome shotgun sequence.